rnacentral:misc_RNA from 1 species
AAGUCGUAACAAGGUCUCCGUUGGUGAACCAGCGGAGGGAUCAUUACUGAGUGUAAAAACUCCCAAACCCCUGUGAACAUACCUAUCGUUGCUUCGGCGGGACCGCCCCGGGCGCCACUACGGUGCCCCGGAACCAGGCGCCCGCCGGGGACAUCAAACUCUUGUUUCUUAUAGUGGACUUCUGAGUGGAUUUUACAAAUAAAUCAAAACUUUCAACAACGGAUCUCUUGGCUCUA